AAGUAUGUCUCCUCACAGACUCUGACGGGCCAGCCUCGUGAUCAGAAACAAACUGAAUAUCUGAUGAUACUGCUCUGUGAUCAUGAAGGGGUGAGGAUGGUCCUUCCUCCUUUGCUCUAUCCUCAGCUCUCUCUUCCACACCUUUUAUCCAACCACCAUCAGUUUUAGAAAAUCCCAUGCGGUGUAAUGUGUGGCGGUUGAUAGUGUCGGAGUGGGAUAGUCUAGCUACAGCCUCCCCCUCAAAACUAACUCCGAACCUCCUAAAAACUAAGGUGAGAGCCAUGCCAAAAGGCAAGUGUGCC
rnacentral:lncRNA from 1 species